rnacentral:misc_RNA from 1 species
AAGUCGUAACAAGGUUUCCGUAGGUGAACCUGCGGAAGGAUCAUUAACACGUAUCCAACGUUAAAACAACCCUGUGAACCUUCAACGCGACUCUUGCAGCCCGCCAAAAGCAGCAAUUCCUGGUAAAUCAUUGUUGAACAGCGUUUGAUUCAGGAACCUCUGCGAAGUAGUGAGAUAUUUUACAGCUGCAAUCGAGGGCAGUUUAAGUGACCUGGCAUCCCCAAGCAAUCAGUGUCUGAAAGUGUCAUUGGUUGUGUAAGGAUGGCGCAGUAAACGAUCGCUAGAGGUCCACACGACCGGCGACCGGGUCACCGGGCUCACGCCCCUUAAUCACCCCAAUUUUUCCGACUGGGCAGCCGAUAAUACGGACGCCGUUUAAAACUUGAACAACUGUUAACAAUGGAUAUCUUGGUUCUC